rnacentral:rRNA from 1 species
UACAGAGGUCUCAAGCGUUGUUCGGAUUCAUUGGGCGUAAAGGGUGUGUAGGUGGCGCGCUAAGUCGGGUGUGAAAUUUCGGAGCUUAACUCCGAAACUGCAUUCGAUACUGGCGUGCUUGAGGACUGGAGAGGAGACUGGAAUUCAUGGUGUAGCAGUGAAAUGCGUAGAGAUCAUGAGGAACACCGGUGGCGAAGGCGGGUCUCUGGGCCGAAAUUGACGCUGAGGAGCGAAAGCGUGGGGAGCAAACAGG